GAUCAUGGCUCAGGAUGAACGCUAGCUACAGGCUUAACACAUGCAAGUCGAGGGGAAACGAUAUUGGAAGCUUGCUUCCGAUAGGCGUCGACCGGCGCACGGGUGAGUAACGCGUAUCCAACCUGCCCAUCACUUGGGGGAUAACCUUGCGAAAGUAAGACUAAUACCCAAUGACGUCUCUAGAAGACAUCUGAAAGAGAUUAAAAGAUUUUAAUCGGUUGAUGGAUGGGGAUGCGU
rnacentral:rRNA from 1 species